GCAUCGGUGGUUCAGUGGUAGAGUGCUCGCCUGCCACACGGGCGGCCCGGGUUCGAUUCCCGGCCGAUGCA
rnacentral:tRNA from 1 species